rnacentral:lncRNA from 1 species
UUAACUUACACCAUUUAUUCAAGCAAACAUUCAGCUGUACCUUAAAUAACUGGCAAGUAUGGGGGAUGGGAGCAUUACUGUAAAAUACAGAAAUAAGCUGAAUCUCUGUACAUGAGACUCACUCGGCAGCUCCCUUUUCCUCCUCGAAAAAAGGUUACAACUUGUUUGUCAGCUGUGGACAUCUUCAGACAGAUAAAAACCUAUGGAGUGGGUUCAAAGAAAUGCUGGCUAAUAUGCCCAGACUGGCUGCUUAAUGAGCCAGAGUAAAAGAAAAGGUCACAUGGUUACAAAAAACCUCCAUACAACAAACACCCUGUAGCUAUGGUUAACUUUAAUUAACUGCAGUAUUACAAUUCACUUCAAGUUUAUUUUCCACCAAUGUUUACUGCACCUUACCUUUCCUUUGCCUGCUAAAAAUCAAACUGAUUAGUCUCAUAAGUGGGCUUAUGUUUCAAAAAGGAAGAUCUUUUCAAAAAUGAUCUGAAAUUUUAAAAAUCCACCAGAUGGGUCCCUUUCUAGCUAUAACUACUGAUGAAUGAUUUCAAGAUUACAGGAGUGGUUCUGUUUAUAUAAAUCAGGGUAUUCAGACUUCUGUGAUACAAUUAAAUAUUGAAUAGCCAGUAGUAGUUCUCUUUUAAUAGCAGUUGCAAUUCACAUAUUAAUAUUACUUCUGCUUAAGUUUAAAGUUGAAUUUCAACCAUGUGUACAAUUUUUUUCUCUGCCAGUCAUGAGCUUACAAUGUUAAUCUCCCUAUCUCAUGAUUUUAAAAUAAACUGCUGUGAGAAUUGCAUGCUUAGAAAUAACUGAAAAUAGGAUCAGUACAAAUCUCUAUUCUAAAAAACAUGUAAGUUGUAUCCAACAAUUAACUCAAAACAUUCCUUUUCUGCAUUAUUUCUUUGAUCCAUUACAUAAGAACAAUAUGCUUGGAGAUUUUUAAGCACUGAUAUAUCACUUGUCAGAAAAAAAUUAUAUAUAUACACACACAGAGUCAUUGUCUGAAAUCACAGAUAUAGUGAUGCCAAAUACUAAAUCUCAGAACAUAACAAACCCCACCCCCUCCCCACACACACAUGAAACAGCCAGAGUGUAUCUAUACAAGACUGCAAAGAUCUGUAGGCACACUAAGCACAUAGUCUCAAGGCUUCUACCAUCCUUCCCACCAGGAAUACAAAUCAAGUAUGUAUUAAGACCAAGCAGAUACCAAAUGCCAUCCAGACUUUCUUUUAUACAACUAUGGGGCUUUGGUGGGUGGGGAUCCCUACUAUUGAAUAAAACUAAGAGCUCAUACCCUAUGAUACUGUUGCAUUUGGAACAGCUCUAUAUUCUGCUGAUCAAACUGCAAAGGAUUUCUGCAGUGCUGCUGAGUUUUUUUUCAGGUUUUCCCCUUUCCUCCAUUUGCCUCACUGAAAAGGACAAAGUUCACGUUAGGUUUGUUUGCAUUUUCUAGCUAGCAUGAGGCCUGUGUAUUUACUUUGCCUGUUGAUCACUUAACAGGUACUACACUGCUCCCCUAUCUCCAGAAAAUGCCAAUGUCACACAGAAUUGUAAAUUAUACAAAGAAUCACAUAUAAUCAUUGCCAAAAAGAAAGCAUUCACUUCAGUUCUUAAAGGAAGCUUCCUUGCCUGAAAACACAAUAAGGCCCCUGAACUGCUCAUCAAUUCAAGUUAUGAAAAGCCAAUGCCUAAAUGGGGUAGCAACCCACCAGCUGCAACACUAACUGUAGAAGCUGUUAUUUCAUGCUACCCUUUUCUGUACCCAGUUCAGCUACAGUCCUGCCUUACCAUGAGUUUGUGGCUAAUGUCUAACUCUGACAAGCACUCUUAAAAUCAACUAAAAUUAUUAACUAUGGAAUGCUGGGUUGUUUGUUGGGUUUUGGGGUUUUUUUUGUGAAAAGAAGGCUUCAUUUUAAAUCUCAAGCCUUAAUAAAUUGCACAGACAAUGUAUUCAUCCUGUAUUGCAAACAGCUUGCAGCUGGAGAGCUACUGGAGGGGAGGAGAAGGGAGGAGGAAAUGAGAUGCAGGAACAGUAAAUAGAAAAUGCUUAGUCAGCAACCGUUACUGCAACAUUAAAGGUGAAAUGUAAAUAGGCACGGUGCCAAGAUUUAAGUAAGUUUGAUAACACCAUCGUCAUCUUACUACAUAUAAGUGAAAAUGUGCAUACAAGUGCCACAAUUAUCACAACGAACUGCAGACUCUUGGUAUAAUGGAGACCUUUAAAAAGCCAACACGGCUUGUGCAUACUGCCUAAGCUUAGGGAAAAAUAAAACUUGCUACUCAAGAAGUAUUAAUAUCAAUUGAAUUUAUUACAAUUUACUAAGCUCCAAGGCACAUUACAGUGUUCUGUUAACUACAGAAAUGUAUAAAGGACAAACAGAGCAUGUUUCUCAUGUACAGCAUUUUGCUCUACUGUUCAAAAGCAUCCGUGCAUCAAUAAAAGCAAAAACAAAAAACACAUGAAGAUUAAAAAACGUUCAGAUCAAUAGAAACAAAAUGAAACAUUUUCCUUACAAACUUGCAACAAAAAAACACCCUCCCCCCACAGCCACCCCACCGUUUUGCAACAAAAAAAAAACCAAAAACGAAAAAAAAAAAAGGUGAAAGACUAACACUCAGGGCUUGUAAAACAUAAGCUGUCACCAUUUUUGUAGCAAUUUUUUAGGCAUCAACACUGGCCUUGGCAAAAAAAAAUUUUUUUUUUUGUCUUUUGUGUUUUUCUUCUUCUUUCAGAGAAGUGCAUACAUUUACAAAAAUACACACCAGCAGCAGGUAAUCGCUAAGGGCUAUUAACUGUGUACCUAGCCAACACACUGCCAAAGAAAUGAGAACAGGUAUUAUGUAGUAACCAAACAAUAUUAUAUUCUGUUUAACAAAAACCAGCUCUAUCCUUCAAAUGAAGAAGAGUACAUACCUUUGUUUCAAAAUAUAGAAACAUACGACGAAAAUAAUGUCUAUACAUAAGACUAACUUUUGCAGUUUGUUAUAUUCACAAUUCUACAUCUUCAGGAGUCUGAAGGGAUUGGAUUUCUUACUCAAGGGUCUCUCUCCUUUUUCACUUUAACGUCCCCAGCUAAAAUGGUCGCGAUCUCGCCCUGCAUAAAUGCCCAAGGCACAUUGGAACCGACUAGGGGGCAUUUCUCUCCACUGGGGCAGUAGACUUCACCAGUCGCCCCUUGGGCC